rnacentral:lncRNA from 1 species
CAUUCUGACUGCCCCUAAUGCCAGUUUCUUCUAUUAAGGACAACACAGCAGGGUUGCAUAUGGAGGGGCUUUCUCCACAAACAUGAAGUUCUACAAUGUGACUUGUCUGAUACUAUCAGAUCAUGCCUUCUAUGUAAGAGCUGAAGACUUCUGUUUGUGGCCAUUCAUUUUGUUUUGUCUUGUUUUGUUUUUUGUGUUUUUUCUUUUGUUUCCUUUUUUACUUGUGCCACUGGGAAUUGAAUCCAGGGCUUUCACAUUGAGCUAUGCCCUCAGCUCUUUUUAUUUUAUUUUAAUUUUUUCAAGACAGGGUCUUGCUAUGUAUUCCAGCUUUGGGUUCACUGUGUAGCCCAGGCUUGGCCUCAAACUUCUUACUAUCCUCUUGCCUCAACCUCGAGAGUGCUGGGAUUACAGGUGUGCACCACCACACACAGUCCUUUUCAUUUUGUUUAUUUUGAGACAAGGUCUGGCUAAAUUGCUCAGAUGGGACUUGAAUUUGUGAUUCUCCUACCUCAGCCUCCCAGAGUGCUGGGAUUAUAAACCUGUGCCUCUUGGUCCAGUUUCUUUUUUAAAAUGCUGGAAAGGAUCCAGGGAAGCUGCAUCAUUUUUAGAUAGGAGAUGACAUCACUUCCCAACUUGCUUAGGAGGCCUAAAGUCUUGCUCUAUUCUUGGUCUAGCACCUCACUUUCCAUUCUCUUUACAACCUAUUGUCCUUUUUUGUACUUAGCCUAGCAGGACCUGGGGGGCCCAGCUUGAAAAAGGAUGUUAGCAUCCCCUCCCUUCUGCCGACCUACCUCCUCUUGUAGCAACCUGGCGCCCCCUCGACAACUCAUGGCCAUCUUCUCACCCGUGGAGGACUUGUGUUCCUGUCUGUCCUCUGCCACACAGGCAAAGCUCCCUUGUGACUGAAGCAGAAGAGAAGGGCCUGAUGCUCCCCGUAAGCAAGCUGCAGUCAUGGGUCAAUCCCAGAUGACUCUCCCCUGCAGCCUCUCUGGAUGACUAUUUCUCUACAGCCACUUCAGAUAUCCUCACUCUGGUCCAGGAGGAGCUCCUGGCCUACCCAUGACUGAGCAGAAAGUCUGCAGCUACCUGGCAGGACACUGCGUGUGUGGGCCUGCCUUCUAUUGUCUAUAUGAGAAUAGUGCAUGUACUGCU